rnacentral:rRNA from 1 species
GACGAACGCUGGCGGCGUGCCUAAUACAUGCAAGUAGAACGCACAGUUUAUACCGUAGCUUGCUACACCAUAAACUGUGAGUUGCGAACGGGUGAGUAACGCGUAGGUAACCUGCCUGGUAGCGGGGGAUAACUAUUGGAAACGAUAGCUAAUACCGCAUAAUAUUGAUUAUUGCAUGAUAAUUGAUUGAAAGAUGCUAUUGCAUCACUACCAGAUGGACCUGCGUUGUAUUAGCUAGUAGGAGAGGUAACGGCUCACCUAGGCGAAGAAAGAUAGCCGACCUUGGAAGGUGGACCGCCCACCUGGGACUGAGACCCGGCCCAGACUCCUAAGGGAGGCAGCCGUAGGGGAUCUUCGGCCAUGGACGGAAGUCUGACCGGGCAACGCCGCGGGAGUGGAGGAGGUUUUCGGAUCGUAAAGCUCUGUUGUAAGGGAAGAACGAGUGUGAGAGUGGAAAGUUCACACUGUGACGGUAUCUUACCAGAAAGGGACGGCUAACUACGUG